GUCUUCAUAAGAACAUAAAUGUGCUAAAGAUAGCAAGGGAAAAGCUGUGUUUUCUGGAAAGCUGUUGUGAGAAACCCCACAAGGGAGGACUGAAGCAAAGCAAGGUAGAUGUGGGUAGAGUGCCUUCUGCUUGACAGCACAACAGGGAUGAGGAUGAUGACGACAAAGGGAUCUUUCUGUCUUCAAAAAGUGCUUCUCAGAAUUUACGAUGUUUCUUUAACUACACGAGGUGGGCUCUUCUAAUGUAAAGAGCUCACCUCCAUACCUGGGAGAGUGGAGUGUCUGUGAAAGGCAAUGCCCAGCUCUGAAGGCAAGUGCAAGGCAAGAAUAUGGACCUCUGAAAACACUUUAGGAAUGAUCUAGAGCUAGAUAAUAAGAAAUGCUGACUACAACAGACCAUCUGAACUUUGUAGUUUACGUGCCAGAGGCAUGGCUCGGUGUACCAACACUACCCCAAGUCCCUCUCUAAAAGUAAAUCCUGUAACUGCCAGGCUACAGGACAGCGUGUCAUGACUACCUGCCUAUUUCAUUGAAGGUGGGCCAACAGUCUCCCAGAAAUCCAGUGUUCCUAGAGAAAGAGCGAUAAACAAGGAAAAUCCCCUCCAAAGUAUCACUGUAGUUUGGGACACAUUCCUAGAAGCAGAAACAAGGUAAAAUGCAAAGCUAGUCAGAAAGCAGGUCCCUCUAUGU